ACGCGAAAGUCCCCUUCGGGGGACGAGUAGAGUGGCGCACGGGUGAGUAACACGUAGGUAAUUUGCCUUCGGGUGGGGAAUAACAGCCGGAAACGGCUGCUAAUACCGCAUAAUGCAGCGGCUCGACAUCGAGACAGUUGUUAAAGCGGGGGAACUUUCGAGUCCUCGCGCCUGAAGAGAAGCCUGCGGCAGAUUAGCUAGUUGGCAGGGUAACGGCCUACCAAGGCGACGAUCUGUAGCCGGCCUGAGAGGGCGGUCGGCCACACUGGCACUGACAUACGGGUCAGACUCCUACGGGAGGCAGCAGUCGGGAAUUUUGGGCAAUGGGCGAAAGCCUGACCCAGCAACGCCGCGUGAAGGAUGAAAUCCCUCGGGAUGUAAACUUCGCAAGAAUGGGAAGAAUAAGUGGGGGCUAUUACCCCCCAUGAUGACGGUACCAUUUGUAAGCUCCGGCUAACUCCGUGCCAGCAGCCGCGGUAAUACGGGGGGAGCAAGCGUUG
rnacentral:rRNA from 1 species